rnacentral:tRNA from 1 species
GCCCAACUGAGCCUCGGGGGUCCGGGGUGCAGGCUUCAAACCUGCGGCUCACUCGCGUCAGAGUGGUUCGACUCCACCUGGUGGGCG